rnacentral:rRNA from 1 species
UGAGGGAGGAAGGCUCUUGGGUCGUAAACCUCUUUUCUCAGGGAAGAACACAAUGACGGUACCUGAGGAAUAAGCAUCGGCUAACUCCGUGCCAGCAGCCGCGGUAAUACGGAGGAUGCAAGCGUUAUCCGGAAUGAUUGGGCGUAAAGCGUCCGCAGGUGGCGAUGUAAGUCUGCUGUUAAAGAGUGAGGCUCAACCUCAUAAGAGCAGUGGAAACUACAUAGCUAGAGUACGUUCGGGGCAGAGGGAAUUCCUGGUGUAGCGGUGAAAUGCGUAGAGAUCAGGAAGAACACCAGUGGCGAAGGCGCUCUGCUAGGCCGUAACUGACACUGAGGGACGAAAGCUAGGGGAGCGAAUGGGAUUAGAUACCCCAGUAGUCCUAGCCGUAAACGAUGGAUACUAGGCGUGGCUUGUAUCGACCCGAGCCGUGCCGUAGCUAACGCGUUAAGUAUCCCGCCUGGGGAGUACGCCGGCAACGGUGAAACUCAAAGGAAUUGACGGGGGCCCGCACAAGCGGUGGAGUAUGUGGUUUAAUUCGAUGCAACGCGAAGAACCUUACCAAGGCUUGACAUGUCGCGAAUCUUCUUGAAAGGGAAGAGUGCCUUCGGGAGCGCGAACACAGGUGGUGCAUGGCUGUCGUCAGCUCGUGUCGUGAGAUGUUGGGUUAAGUCCCGCAACGAGCGCAACCCUCGUUUUUAGUUGCCAGCAUUAAGUUGGGCACUCUAGAGAGACUGCCGGUGACAAACCGGAGGAAGGUGGGGAUGACGUCAAGUCAGCAUGCCCCUUACGCCUUGGGCUACACACGUACUACAAUGCUCCGGACAGAGGGCAGCAAGCAUGCGAAUGCAAGCAAAUCCCGUAAACCGGAGCUCAGUUCAGAUCGCAGGCUGCAACUCGCCUGCGUGAAGGAGGAAUCGCUAGUAAUUGCAGGUCAGCAUACUGCAGUGAAUUCGUUCCCGGGCCUUGUACACACCGCCCGUCACACCAUGGAAGCUGGUAGUGCCCGAAGUCAUUACUCCAACCUUUCGGGGGGGAGGA